GGGAUGACAGGGAGCGCCGGUCCCGCUCUGUGGUCCAGGUCCCCGGGAGCUCCGCGCUCGCUCGGCUUUGUGCGCGGCAGGUGCAGCCCAACAGCUCUUUGGCUGCAGCAGGUUUGCCAUUUUCAUUAAUAACCACCAUUUAGAAGAACCAGAAUAAAGAAUAUUUUCUAUUUAAAAAUUUGCCAGCUCAGGUUGAGAGCACAGGUAGCAGCAAGAAUGGAAACACAUGAACAGUUAUUAAAGAGAAUGUCAUUUAUAAUUUUGAAUGAAAUGUCAAGAGCUGACUAUUCCAGCAUAUUCAAUGAUUUUGUUGAAUCUGAAUUUUUUCUGAUUGAUGGAGAUUCAUUACUUGUCACAUGUGUAUGUGAGAGAUCAUUAAAGAAGGGCCAAAGUCUCCAUUUCUUCUACCUUGUUGAACGCUAUCUCUUGGAUGUUAUGAGUA